AUGGAGGCCGGCGCUGAGGCGGAGCCGCUGCUGCCCCCGCGGCGCUGGCGGGCGGGCCGGGGGCUGUGGCGGGAGCGCGGCCGUGCCCGCUCGGCCGCCGAGGACGGAGCUGGAGCUGAUAAUGACCUGUAUAUAAACCAAGCCAUAGUAUUUAUUGAAGAUGCAAUACAAUAUCGAUCUAUAAAUCACCGCAUGGACUCCAAAUCCCUGUGGCUUUAUCGCUGGUACUAUUCCAGGACUUGCCAAUGGAUCUUGAGCUUAACCAUCACUGUAAUCUUGGCUUUGGCUUUCGUGGAAGAGCCCUCCUCGCUCACCGUCACGUCGGAUGUGCGGUACCGCCUUCCUGCCUGGAGCCCUCCCUGCGGCCUCACGGAGAGCAUCGAGCUGCUCUGCUUCCUCGUGUUCGUGGUGGACGUCUCUGUGAAGAGUUACUUAAUGGGAUGGAAAGAAUUUUGGAAAAAUAAAUGGCUAAUGGCUUAUAUACUGACAUUAAUUGUUUCCCUUGCUGAUUGGAUUGUGUCACUGAGUUUUUUCUGCAGAGAGAGUGUGAGAAUAAGAAGAAUCCUUCGCCCCUUCUUCCUCCUCCAGAAUUCUUCUAUGAUGAAGAAAACGUUGAAGAGUAUCAACAGCACAUUGCCUGAAAUGGCAAGUGUUGUUCUGCUGCUGGCUGUUCAUCUGUCUCUCUUCACCAUGUUUGCCAUGCUGCUCUUUGCUCGAACAAAGGAUAACCAGCAGGAUAAGGAGUGGGUGGUGUAUUUCCGGAAUUUGCCGGAUUCCCUGACGUCACUGCUGGUCCUGCUGACUACUGCAAAUAAUCCUGAUGUGAUGAUACCUGCGUAUUCGAAGAAUCGAGCGUAUUCAAUCUUCUUCAUCCUCUUCACUGUAUUAGGCAACUUGUUUUUGAUGAAUUUGCUUACAGCCAUAAUAUACAACCAGUUUCGAGGGUACCUUCUGAAAUCAGUUCAGUCCUCCCUCUUCAGGAGGCGGCUGGGAAUCCGGGCUGCGUUUGAGGUGCUGUCUUCCCUGAAAGAGACUUCUGCUAGUGCACAACAGUCCUGUGUCAGUGUUGGAGCCUUACUACAGGUGCUGCAGAAGGCUGAGAUGGAUUCUCGCUGCAAGCAAGCCAUCAUGAGAUCACUCAAAGUGUGCUCCUGUGACCAACUGUCAGCUGCCCAGUUCCAGAAGCUCUUUGAAGAACUAGACAAAGAUGCCAUUAAACAACACCCUCCCAGCCCAGAGUACCAAUCCCAUUUUAUGCAGAAAAUGCAGUUUGCCUUUGGCCAUCCCUGCUUUGGCUACUUGGGGAACGUGGUAGCCCUGGCAAACAUUAUUUCUAUUUGUGUGGUUUUGGUGAUGGAUGCAGAUAAGCAGCCAUCUGAAAGAGAUGACUUCUUCCUGGGGGCUAUCAACUGCUUCUUCAUCCUAUACUAUCUGCUGGAAAUGUUGCUGAAAAUCUUAGCAAUGGGCUUGAAGAGAUACUUGUCUUACCCAAGCAAUAGAUUUGAUGGACUUCUGACUGUAAUUUUGCUGAUCCUGGAGAUUGCAACUUUUGCUGUGUAUGGAUUUCCUCACCCUGGCUGGAGACCUGAGUUCAUGGGCUUGUUGUCCCUGUGGGAUAUGGUGCGGCUGGUGAACAUGUUAAUCGUGUUCAGGUUCCUGCGGAUUAUCCCCAACAUGAAGUUCAUGGCUUUGGUUGUUACUACACUGCUGGAUCUGGUGAAAAACUUAAGAGCCUUUGCAGGACUCCUUGUGGUGGUUUUCUAUGCAUUUGCUAUAACUGGAAUAAUGCUAUUUAAAGGUGCUGUUGUUCCCUUGGGAAAUACCAGUGCUGCCAACACGACGUUUGCCAAUGGCACUCUGCAGUGUGGGACCUAUGAACAGCUGGAAUAUUGGCCCAACAACUUUGAUGACUUUGCUGCAGCAGUGGUGACCCUCUGGGAUGUGAUGGUGGUGAACAACUGGCAAGUCUUUCUGGAUGCAUUUUCAAGAUAUUCAAGUCCGUGGGCAAAGAUCUAUUUUGUAGCCUGGUGGUUGAUCUCCUCUGUCAUCUGGGUCAAUCUCUUCGUAGCUUUACUUCUGGAGAACUUUAUUCACAAGUGGGACCGUCGCUGCCAACGAGAGUCUCUUUCAGGCAUUGAAUACCAGAGGACAGUUGAACUCAUGUUCAGGAAAUUGCUUCUCUGCUUCUUGUGGGAAAACAGCUGCUGGUUUCCAUGACACAUCUGUAGAGGAUGGAUCACUUGCAACUAGAUGCAUCUUUAGGGAGCAUCAGCUUAUUAGAUGUUUUGGAAGAACCUACAGAGGAGGAGUUGAUGGAAAAACUGCACCAGCACCCACACCUGCAGUUAUGUAGGUGACUGGUGGGAAGGACUGAUUUAUUUAGACCUCUGUUUUCUUGAGGUUGUCAGCUGGAAGAAACUGAAUGGAUUUUCUGUGAGAUGCUGUUAGGAGAGGGGCUUGUAGGACACUAUGUGAGGUUUUGCUUGGGAAUUCUCUGCAGAAAGUUUUUUUUUUUUUUAUUUCUGGGUUCAUAUCUUUUGAAAAAGAUUUGAAUCUUGCCGACUUGAUUUUAAGUUGCAGUUUUAGAAAGGAGUAUUGCAGCUGUUAUUUUUAUAGGGUGUUGAUAUCAGAAGGUUUUAUUUACUUUUUUAAAUAGGGAAAAGUCUGUUUAAAAUGACAGUGCACUUUAAAACAUGAACUUUAUAACCACUAAGCCUGCUACUUUUUUCAGCACAAGAAAAUGGAGCUGCCUUUUCUGGCAGGCGAGCGUGGCAAGGGCUGUGCCCUGCAAUUCAUGAAUGGAUUAGGCAGGACCAGAACAAAAUCCUUAAUCUUCUUGUAGUGAGAGCUGAAACACUAUUUUUAUUGUAACAUGACACCAGUGUACCUUACCAAAUUUUUGGGAGUUAAUCAUGUUGGAACACAAACAAUUCCAGCUUAGUAACAGGGACUGCCUGCUUUGCACAUCCUCUGUUAUUCUUUGCUUUCCAUGGGGGGUUCACGCUUGCUGUGCCAUUCUGGUCACUGAGAGCAGUUAGAACCUGGGCUGGAGCGAUUGCACUCGUGGUUUUCAAUGUGGUAAAACUGAGCUCUUUCAGAGUCAAUGUUCUCAUGCUGCUUUUUACUGAUCCUCUUCCUUUUACGUUCUUCCAAGUCCUGUUCUACGCUGUGUUGUAUUCCGUGAAAAAGCUAAGGGGAAUGAACUUUGGCUGGAUUGUUGUACCAUGAUCACUGGAGUUGCCCACUUAAAUGGGGAAGGGGGGUAGAAAAGGUUGAAAGGGAUAAGCAAAAUGCUAACAGUUGAAAUUUUAAUUUGAGACACUGGGAAUUGAAGGUGCUCAACCAGUAUUGCAGGAUCACAUUCUUUUAUGGCUUAAUGACCACAUACUGUGUACCACUAACUUUCACCUGGGUACAACUUUUUGGGGAAAUAAGUUUCUCAACAAAUCCAAAGUGGAGGAUUCACGGUAAAGCUGUGUCCAUGUGCUUUUUGUUAUCCCUUAGUGUUCCUCUAAAAAGGUGCUUUUGCUUGAAUCUCUGUCACAUAACUGGUAAACUGCUAUGAAGAAUAGAAUCUACUACAGCUGCUGUUCUUAUAUGUAAGAAUGAAACUGCCCUUUGGGGCACUGCCUUCUAAUUUGAGACACUUGUCACCAAAAUAGACAUUAUUGUGGUCACCUCUGUAUUGACAAAGGCUUGGGGGAGGUAACUGGGUACUAAUUUAUAAGUCCCUUGAUUCUUUUCUUAUUUAAAAAAUGUUUUUCAGAAGUGCCAAGCAAUCCUCUGUACCUUUCCUCAUCUUUUUUCAUCAUUUGCCAUUUCUCUCUGUCCUGCUGAUGGUGCGUUUGAGGUCAAAAACAGAUUUUUGCCUUGUCGUCUCACUGUUCAGAAAUUACUUAAUUAUUCUUGUCUGUUUCUUUUCCUUUUUGCUUGUAUUUUCUUCCUGCUGUGGAGCAAAAUGUGGUGCAGCUUUCAUAUGUGUAGUGCAAGUGUGAGCUAAGUUCUGAGCUACUCCUGCAGUCUUUCUUUGCUUCUGUAAUCCUGCCUCUCAAGCCAUGCCCUUGUCUGUGUGCAGUCUGUUGUCUCUGUUCCAGAUUAAGCCACACAGACACUCACUUGCACUGGUUUCAGUAGCAUCAUCAUGCUUAUUUUCAGUCAUGCACUUAAAACACUCACCAUGGCAAGCCGAUGAAGGCAUCAGCGCACGGUUUUUCUGGUUUUGACUUUGUUCUGUUCAGUACAGCUUCAUGUCAGGAUGGUUUCUGUUCCUUCUGGUGUGUGAUGUGUAAUCACUGCCACCAGUGUAUUGGUACUUAUUACACAGGGUUAAAAUGCUCUUGUUUUACCUUUUUACUGGAAAAAAAAAAAAAAAAUUGUUUUCCACUUUUCUGAGUACUUGAAGUGCUUUGCCUUGCCAAGAAGGAAGUGUCCCGUUCUUACCAGCCUACAGUUUGAUUAUUUUUUUUGCCUCUUAAGGUUCUUUGGGGUUUUGUGGUUGAUAUUUUCUUUUUUUUUUUUUGCCAUUACAUUACACUAUAAUCCACCGAAGCAAUGCAAAUUGGCGUGGGAUUACUAUCAACAUCACAACUGUCUCCAUUAUGCCAUCUUUACACAUCUGGACAAAUGUGGGGAAGGCAUUCUGAAGGGAAUAGUCUGCCUUGUUCUUGUUUCACACUUGUGUAAUUGACUGAAAGUCUAACUAGAAUUUAACACAAAAUUGUGCUACCUAAUGUCACUUGAACUGGGAGAUGUAAAUGACCACAAUUCUUAUGCAAUAACUGUAUAAAUCAUGAAAAUGAAUGUAUGUUAUUAGGUAAAAUUUGAGGUUUGAGUUAUUAAAAAACGUUUUUUCUUCUUGAACCAUGAAAAUAA